AUUGAACGCUGGCGGCGUGCCUAACACAUGCAAGUCGAGCGGUAACAGGUGUAGCAAUACAUGCUGACGAGCGGCGAACGGGUGAGUAAUGCUUCGGAAUCUGCCCAUGUAGUGGGGAAUAACCAGCCGAAAGGUUGGCUAAUACCGCAUACGACCCUUGCCCACAAGGCAAAGGUGAAAGCAGGGGAUCGCAAGACCUUGCGCUAUUGGAUGAGCCGAAGUCGGAUUAGCUAGUUGGUAGGGUAACGGCCUACCAAGGCGACGAUCCGUAGCUGGUCUGAGAGGACGACCAGCCACACUGGGACUGAGACACGGCCCAGACUCCUACGGGAGGCAGCAGUGGGGAAUAUUGGACAAUGGGGCAACCCUGAUCCAGCGACGCCGCGUGUGUGAAGAAGGCCUGCGGGUUGUAAAGCACUUUUAGU
rnacentral:rRNA from 1 species